ACAAGGGAAGUUGUGAAACUUCUUAAUAGAAUAGUUUAGUUAAGUCUAGUUUAGUUUUUGUGUUGUAAAUCGGGAGCCUGCAAGAGUGCACGAGCUCCCGAUGUUUUU
rnacentral:sRNA from 1 species